rnacentral:rRNA from 2 species
UACGGAGGAUCCAAGCGUUAUCCGGAUUUAUUGGGUUUAAAGGGUGCGUAGGCGGCCUAUUAAGUCAGGGGUGAAAGACGGUAGCUCAACUAUCGCAGUGCCUUUGAUACUGAUGGGCUUGAAUACACUAGAGGUAGGCGGAAUGAGACAAGUAGCGGUGAAAUGCAUAGAUAUGUCUCAGAACACCGAUUGCGAAGGCAGCUUACUAUGGUGCAAUUGACGCUGAGGCACGAAAGCGUGGGGAUCAAACAGG